AGGGCACCACCAGGAGUGGAGCCUGCGGCUUAAUUUGACUCAACACGGGGAAACUCACCCGGCCCGGACACCGUAAGGAUUGACAGAUUGAUAGCUUUUUCAUGAUUCGGUGGAUGGUGGUGCAUGGCCGUUCUUAGUUCGUGGAGCGAUUUGUCUGGUUUAUUCCGAUAACGAGCGGGACUCUAGCCUACUAAAUAGUUCGCACAUUGUCAACUUGUGUGCGCCUACUUCUUAGAGGGAUUUUCGGUGCUCAGCCGCACGAGAUUGAGCAAUAACAGGUCUGUGAUGCCCUUAGAUGUCCGGGGCCGCACGCGCGCUACACUGAGGGAAUCAACGUGCUUUUCCACCUUGGCCGGAAGGCUUGGGGAAUCCGCUGAAACUCCUUCGUGAUUGGGAUUGAGCUUUGUAACUAUCGCUCAUGAACGAGGAAUUCCCAGUAAGCGCGAGUCAUAAGCUCGCGUUGAUUACGUCCCUGCCCCUUUGUACACACCGCCCGUCGCUACUACCGAUUGAAUGAUU
rnacentral:rRNA from 1 species